CACGUAGUUAGCCGGGGCUUCUUGGUCAGGUACUGUCAUUUUCUUCCCUGCUGAUAGAGCUUUACAUACCGAAAUACUUCUUCACCCACGCGGCGUCGCUGCAUCAGGGUUUCCCCCAUUGUGCAAUAUCCCCCACUGCUGCCUCCCGUAGGAGUUUGGGCCGUGUCUCAGUCCCAAUGUGGCCGUCCGCCCUCUCAGGCCGGCUACGGAUCGUCGCUUUGGUAGGCCGUUACCCUGCCAACUGGCUAAUCAGACGCGGGUCCAUCAUAUACCACCGGAGUUUUUCACACCGGGGCAUGCGCCCCUGUGCGCUUAUGCGGUAUUAGCACCUAUUUCUAAGUGUUAUCCCCCUGUAUAUGGCAGGUUACCCACGCGUUACUCACCCGUCCGCCACUAGGGCGUGAAAAGUUUGAAGUCUAGUAAACUAUCCCUCUCGCACAUCACGCCCCGUUCGACUUGCAUGUGUUAAGCACGCCGCCACGACGGUUCUACUCCUCGUAGCCAGGACUACAAAACUACCUCUUAC
rnacentral:rRNA from 1 species